rnacentral:misc_RNA from 1 species
AGCAGCCGCGGUAAUUCCAGCUCCAAUAGCGUAUAUUAAAGUUGUUGCAGUUAAAAAGCUCGUAGUUGAAUUUCGGGAUUGGCGCAUCGGUCGUGCCUUACGGGGUAUGAACUGGUGCAGUCAAUUUCUCACCUUCUGGAGAACCGCGAUGUCCUUAAUUGGGUGCCGCGGGGAACCAGGACCUUUA